rnacentral:lncRNA from 1 species
AAAAUCAUUUCACUUGCACAGUUACCCACUCUCCCCUUUCUCCUUCAUCGCACCAAAACGCCUCAGCUCGAUUCUCGCGUCCACUUUGUUGCCAUCAUUCGCUUCGUGUACACAGGGACUCCCCCCAUCAAGUAAACUGUCUCACUUCUUUUUAGAGUCUCUAUUGCUAAAAUGUGGGCUAAACCAUUAGCCAAUCUCAAAGUAUGUUUAAAAUUGAUACUCUGAAAACUAUCUUUUAACAGCUAAAGUCUUGUAUAUGCGCUCCUAUCUGUGAUUUAUAUGGAUCUCGAGAUUGACAUUUCUUUAUAUUGGCUAAUGAAUCACCUUCCACUGUCAUCUCCGGCCACCCCAUUUCCAAACCUGUUUGAACUGCCUAGAUACAUGCAAAAGCUUCGGCGGAAAAACACAAAGAGAUCCCAUCAUGGAUCUCCGAGCAAGAAAACAACACUUUUCCUUCAGCAUUCCUUGCAAAAAUACUCGAUAUCGACCUAAAGCUAUGACUUUCAUACGCGUCGUUUCAAACGCCUCCAUUUCACCGCUUUAAGUACCUGUGUAAGUUUCCUUUUGUCUGUUUCAUCUAACUCAAUACAGUAGUGAAUAAUAAAUCGAGCAAUAUCUCAUCCUAUACCGACCUUUCUUUCACGUAUUCUCUCAUUUUUGUCACUCUAGAUGCCCAAAGUGCACCACAAAACAAACGCCUCUAACGGAUGAAGCAUUCUCCAAAUACCCAGGUAAGCCACUAUACAAAAUCCAUCUAUGGUCUAUUAAGAAUAUUUGAUAAACUCAAAACUGACCAAACUUCAGUAGAUAAAGGGCAAACACAAAAUAAAUGAUCCGUUGUCUCUGCGCCUCUUCCACACCGAGGACAAGUCACAUUAUUUACUAGUUUUCUAUGCUGCAUGUUGACUAGAAUAGGUAAAAAAUUCCAAAAAUCCUCCAUAUUGUAAUUUUAAGUUUUGAAGGAAGGUUUAGGCUCCAUAGUUGUUUAUAGAAAUUUCUAUAACUGAUUUGUAAAGCAUAAGCAUUAGGAUUCCCUGGAAAAUUUGGUAAUAGUUUAUAGGUACUACGUACCGAAAACUCUCUUGAGAGUUCCGCCACUCUAUGCUAGCAAAUCAUUAUGGGCCUUCGUCGCUAGAGGAAUACAGAGGAUCCUAACUGCGUCCACUUUCGAGAAGAUAUUGACAACUAACUCCUUUUUCCAUGUUCUAGUAUCAACAUUUAUUAGAUCUACAACUUUAAAGUUUUGCAUGCUAUGAACAAUGCGAGAUAAUCUGUAAUUAUCAGCCCCUGAGAUCCAAGUGUCCUCAUUAAUUGAAAUUUCCUCACCCGACUCCACCCUUCAACAAAGCCCCUUGCAUCAAAAGCCACCUACAGCCCAAAUGUUUUUUCAUGUAUAAGAUGGCAUAUUCCCUAAACGCGCAUUAAUGAAAUUGGUAUUAGGAAAUUAUUCCGCUUUAAGAGCAUGGGCAAUUAACGAAUUCAGGUAAUUAAUGAGCCUCCAUCCUUUUUUUGCUAACAAAGCAACAUUGAAUUUUCCCAUGCUACGGAAACUCAUCCCCCUUCUUCUUCUUCUAAACGACACAUAUGCCUCCAUUCGCACCAAUGUAUCCCCCUCCUUUCAUACCCUUUUUACCUCCAAAACCCGGCCAUUAUACUUUCAAGUUCCUCACAAAAAGAUUUUGGUAAAAACACAUCAUAGCAUACAUUGGUAUUGCCUGCAAUAAAGAUUUUAUAAAUACCUUUUUACCUCCCUGAGACAACAAUCUCGUACUCCACACUUUAAUCCGCAUUUUGACCUAAUCUUUAAGAUUCUAGAAUGAUGCAUUGUUCCUACUCCCAACCAUAUUUGGUAACCAUAAUUACUUUUUCGGUUUUAAGGAGAAACACAUUCCUAACAUUCUUGAAAUUCUCACCUUAUUCUCAUCAAAUGUGUUAAAACUAAAAAAGACCAUAAACUUGUUAAAAUUCACACACUGACCUAAGUAGCUCUCAUAUUCCUUUAAGACUUCUUUCAAAAAUGUUGCUCCUCUAUUAGUCGCUUCACCAAAAAGGAUGCAAUUAUCUGCGAACAACAAAUGUGAUAUUUAAAGACCCCUCUUACUAAUCUUGGCUCUUUUAAAAAAUCCUCCCUUAUUGUCAAUCUCAUCAAUGCCGAUAGCCCCACUACAAAUGAGGCAAAUAAAAUGGUUAAAUAGGUCACCUUAUUGAAGCCUUCUCAUCAGAUGAAAAAUUCUUCCACUAUUACCAUUAACAUUCACUGAGUAAGAAACUGAAUAAAUACACUUCAUUAUGAGAUCUACCCAUUCUUUUGCAAAGCCCAUUCAUAACACCACUUCCUUUAGAAAACCUCAUAUUUAGAUCAAUGUUUUCCCUGUGCGCUUCUGACAAAAGGUAUGCAAAAGCUCAUAGGCUAGUAGCACAUUAUCAGAUAUUAGUCGCCCAGGCACAAACGCACUUUAGGUAUUAUCAAUGUAUUUAUCAAUACCUCCCUGAAGUCAAUUAGCUACUACUUUCGCUACAAUUUUAUAAAUGACUAUGCACAAGCUAAUAAGUCUGAAAUUCACUAGGUUUGUAGGAUUUAAAGCUUAGGGAGUAGCGCAAUAUUAGUAAUAUUUUCCAAAUCAAAAUCAUUACCAUCAUUCAUUAUACGCAAAUUGUACUUAGUAACAUCACUUCCUACAAUGUGUUAGUACCUUUGGAAAAACAUAGUUGGAAAACCAUUUACCCCCGGCACAUUAGUUGGACCCAUUUCCUUCAACGCCACAUAGACCUCAUAUACUGUGUACUUUGCCGUUAUAGUCGAAUUGAUAUCGGGAGAAAUACUUGCCUCUAUUAUGGACAAAAUAUGUGAUAGAUAGCCUAUCCCAUUUGACAAAAACACAACUUGAAAAUAUCUAGCAGUUAUUUCCCCAAUCUCUUUUUCAUCGCAAACCUCUCUUUCCUCCUUUCGCUCCAACCUGCUAAUAGUAUUCAUACGCCUGCAAGUAGAAGCAAUUUUAUGAAAGAAAGUUGUAUUUUUCCCCCCAAAUGAAACAAGUUGGCUCGUGGCCUCUGCUCCAAAAAACCUUAUCUUUAUCAAUCUCUAACUUAAGCUAAAUAUUUGUGUCCAUGAACUCUGCCAAUGUGCCAUCAUCCCUAUCCAAUUCUAUCAUGCUUUCCAAAUUCUUUGUAAGAUCCCGUUUCAAACCAUUCCAACUAGCUUUAAUUGAUUUCGUCCAUAUCUUUAAUCCCUUUCGCAAUUUAUCCAAUUUAUCAAAAAUAAACAUAGAGGAUGACUCCCACACCUAUUUAAUUUCCUCUUCUAAUGAUUUUUCCAUCGUCCACCAGCCUUCAAACCUGAAUUUCAAUUCCCCCAAAAGAGCCCUAUCGUGAUUUGUGCUUAUGAGUAACGGACAGUGAUCUAAAAAGGAAUGUGGCAAAUAACGAAUUCAUGCAUUUGGAAAUAAAGUCAACCAUUUAUCAUUUGUGACCCUCUUGUCUAAUCUCUCCCUUAUGUUUGUCUUCGGCAAAUUCCCUCUUUCCUAAGUGAACCACACUUCUAAAUAUCUCACAUCCAUUAAUUGACACUCUUUAAGGACAGAUUGGAAAACCUAUAUUCUUUUCUCCUCCCUUGGCAUACCUCCAGCCUUCUCAAAGGAAUACAUGAUUUUGUUGAAGUCUUUAUACACCAACCAAGGAAAAUUUUGAUUCUACCCUAGUCUCCGAAAUAAGUUCCAAGAACCAUUCCUACUACUUGCAAAAGGUGCUUCAUAAAACCCAGUGAAUCUCCAUUCUUUAUCAUCACUAUCUUUUUUAGACUAGCAGUGUAGCACCCCAAACCCGGCUCAGACGUUAUGGUCGAAUCCGACAUGCCAUAUCGAAGCAUUCAAAACAUUUUAUAUUGUUGAUCCAGAAAAACUUACUUAGUGUUUUAAAAGAUGAUUAUAGGUUAAAGUGGAUGGAAGCUGUGCACCAGGUAAGAAACCGAAAAAGAGGAGGUGAGUCCAUCGGACUGCUUAAGUAGCAAGCUCCCUUUAGAUUCAAUCCUAGACAUGCACACCGCCAUUGCCACACCUUAACGUUAUGUAUAUUUCUAGAAAACCGAUUUGAUUAAGUCUUUUUUAGGAAAAGUGAUUAAUUUUGGAAAAUACUUUCAUUGCGGAAGCUUUGCUUGUCAUCGUGGUAUUUUGAAAUCAAUUGUUGUUUUUGAAAACGCGCCCUAAAGCUUUCCAACUUCAACAGUUAAAAUAAGUAAUACUUAUCUUAGUAACAUAUAUUAACACCAUCAAAAAUAAUUAAGCGGCCUUAUUACAUUUAAAAACCCAAAACUUCAAACGUAAAAAAAAGGAUAUCCAGUUCACCAGAAGAAAAUCAAACUUUCAGAACGGGUGGCCACUCCGAAUUCCCUCACAGCUCCAAGCCCACUAUGGUUGGGGAUUACCUGCGUAGAUGAAAAUAAAAGGGGUGAGUUUGGGGAAACUCAGUGUGUAAGGAAAACCUAUUCAAAGUCCAAGUCAGUUCAAGCCUAUUGGGCCUAAGCCCAUUCAGGUAACAGUGGUACUGGACCAGAGCCCUUUUCAAAUUACAAUAAACUGGGCCUUAGCCCUUUAUUCAGAUAACAAUAUGGCCCAUAGGCCCAUUUUAAAAUACAUGCAACAUCAAUAACAUAUGGAAGCCCAUUUGGGGAGACUACUCAACCCACCAACCACUACACUCCACCCGUACCAGCCCUACACUCCAUGUGGGGAAUAGCUCAACCCACCCAGCCCAACACUCCACAGUUGUAGCCUUGCUGCUCAGUUAACAGUAAAUUGAGGCAAAGCCUCCAGUACGUGGAAAAGCCACUUUUAGUACUUUCUCCGUCAAUAUCCCAAUCCCAUGCAUCAGAUAAUAACAACAUGGCAUGCAGUAAAUAACAACAAUCAAACAUGCAUUUAGGUCAAUUUAACUCUAGGGGUAUUUUGGUAAUUUAUCUCCUAGGGGUAAAACUGUAAAAUUUUCACUUUUAAAGGUAUUUCAGUAAUUUAUCUAUUUUAGGGUUUUUCAUACAUAUUUCUACUUUUCACGUACUAAUAGAAUCACGUACCGAGUGUUCUUACUGAAUUGGGCCCAUUGGCCCAUCAUUCUAAUUUUGGCCCAUUAAGCCCAAAAAUAUCGAGGGCACAGAAAUCAUGCAAUUUGCAAUCCAAAUUUUGCAGUUUACCAAAACCAUUAAUCGAUUUACCUCACAAGCAUUCGCACACUCGCAAAUCUACAAAAUAUCAAUUUUCGGCAUUUCGACUUUUUGACUUUUGCCGAUCCAGAUUAAGAAAGAGGGUGUUAGUUACACACCUGUUCGCGACGAUAUGCUGACGAGAUCCACACACGAACCGCCUACAAUUGGAUUACUAACACGUUAAUCUAACUAUUCAAAUACAAACUACGUAUUAACCCAUUACAAUAUUCGGCCAACCACACCUACAGAUCAUAGUAAGCUUAUAAGAAAUCAAUAAGCAACUCAUUAAAAAUUUUUGUCAAUGUUUAUCACAUAAUCAUAAUUUCACUGCAAGCUGUCUUCCUGAGCAACAGUCACUAAAUCAUUUAUAACUGGAGCUACGAAACUCUAAAUCAAGUGCCAUUAAUUUUCAGAAUUUUUGGUUUGGCCAAUCAAUACUAGAUUUUUCUCAAAGUUUCGCAUGUUUCACUAUUUGACUAAUCUGACCACUCUUCAUUACGAAUCAAAUUUUUCAUUGUACAGAAUUUAAAAUAUGUUCUCGUUUAUUCCAUUUGAAACUAGACUCAUUAAGCUUUAAUUACAUAAUUUAUGCAGCUUCUAACUCAUCUCCCACAAUUUAUGGUGAUUUUCCAAAGUCACGUUACUGCUGUUGUCCCAAUCAGAUUUAUUACCAAAUCACUCUUUCACACAACUUGCAUGCAUGUUUUUUUUAAACAUGUAUAUCACCAAUCAAUCAUCACAUAUCUAUGAUUUUACUUAAGCAUAAUCUCCAUUUCAUCAUUUUAAACCACAACAUAUUAGCCGAUUUUUCCCCUUAGCAUCUAAGCACAUGCAUGCUCAUUUGUUUGGCUCAACUUCACAUAUCUUCCAUUUUUCAUCUAAAGAACAUGAAACAACAACCAUUUCCUUCAUUUUAAUUCAUGACCAAAUGCUCACAACACAACCAAAAACCAAAAUAUGCUUCAAGAGUUAAGGUAGAAUCAAGAAGAACUCAUGAACAUCAAGAUAGAAGCAAACUACCAUGAACUUACCUUCAAUUUUUUUCUCCAAGUGACCGAAUAUUCAAGAGCUUUCUCAUCUUCUUUCUCUUCUCUAACUUUAGGCUAUGAUGAACAAAGAUGGACAAAACUUUGUUCUUUUCACCCCUUUUUCUUUUAAUAAAAUUUCAUAUUUCAUCCAUUUAAUUCUUUAAUACAAAAGACAUGAAAUUCCAAUCAUGGAACAUUUACCUAACCCAUUAUCAUGGAACAUUUACCUAACCCAUUAUCAAUUUGUAUCAAUUUGUACCAUAAAUUAUAGAUAUCAAGUGCACAUUUUGUCUACAACAACAUGAUGGCUGGCCACUUCAUGUAAAAUGGGAGGUUUGUCAUGCAAAUCCUCUUAUUUUGCACUCCUAUUUAUUUGGCCACUUCAAUUUAGCCUAUAGCAUUUUCAAACAUUUUCACAUAGGUCCUAUUUCAUAAUUUCACUCACAAAUGUCAAAAUUAAAGCAUGAAAUUUUGCUAACAUUCACAGAAUUCCCGAAAACUGGGGCAUUACAACUCUACCCCCUUAAAGAAAUUUCGGCCUCGAAAUUUACCUAAUCCAAAUAGUUAAGGGUAUUGUUGACGCAUAGUCUCUUCUGAUUCCCAAGUAGCUUCUUCCCCUCCAUGAUUACGCCACAAUACUUUUACCAACGGAGCUGACUUCCUUCUUAGAACUUUAACCUCUCGAUCUAAAAUUUGUAUGGGUUCUUCCUCAAAGGUCAAAUUAGUCCUUACUUCAAUCUCCUCCACUGGCACAACAUGUGAGGGAUCUGAUCGAUAUCGUCUUAACAUAGACACAUGAAAGACAUCAUGGAUUCUGUCUAACUCUGGUGGUAACUCUAACUGAUACGCUACUGGCCCUACCUGCCUAAGAACCCGAUAUAGCCCUAUAAACUGCGGACUCAAUUUGCCUUUCUUGUCGAAUCUCAAGAUCUUCUUCCAAGGUAAAACCUUUAAGAAAACCAUAUCCCCAACCGCAAACUCUAUCUCUUUGCGCUUUAGGUCCGCAUAUGACUUCUGUCUAUCAGAUGCCUCCUUUAAUCGAUCUCUUAUCAACUUAACCUUACUUUCAGUAUCUGCCACCAACUCCGGUCCAAGCACUUGUCGUUCACCCAACUCUGUCCAACACGUAGGCGUACGACAUCUCCGCUCAUAAAGUGCCUCAUAUGGAGCCAUCUGAAUACUUGCUUGGUAGCUGUUAUUGUAUGCAAAUUCUGCCAACGGCAAGUAAUCCUCCCAACUACCUCGAAAAUCAAUCACGCAUGCCCUCAACAUGUCCUCCAGAAUCUGAAUAACCUUUUCCGAUUGACCAUCAGUCUGGGGAUGGAAUAUCGUACUAAAAUUCAAUUGCGUCCCCAAUGCCUCAUGCAACUUUUGCCAAAAUUGAGAUGUAAAUAUGGGAUCCCGAUCAGAAAUAAUUGAAACUGGGACUCCAUGAAGUCGCACAAUCUCCGCCACACACAACUUGGCUAACUUUUGAAGUGAAAAGUCAGUACGAACAGGUAUAAAAUGGGCCGAUUUGGUCAACCUAUCCACAAUCACCCACACCGAGUCUUUCUUCGAUGGUGUCAAGGGCAGCCCACUCACAAAGUCCAUGGUUACCCUCUCCCACUUCCAAAGUGGUAUCUUCACUGGCUGCAACAAUCCAAAAGGUAAUUGAUGCUCAGCUUUCACUUGCUGGCAUGUCAGACAUUUCCCUACAAACUCCAUUACUUCUCGUUUAAGUCCAGGCCACCAGUACAAUUCUCGCAAGUCGUGAUACAACUUGUUCCCUCCAAGAUGCAUGGCACAAAGUCCUCCAUAAGCUUCCUUCAAUAUGGAACAUAAAUUCUUCCUCGGAAACACAGAACUCCUUCGCCAUUUAACCCAAACUCAGAAGUUUCCCCUUCCUUAACUUGUUGGAAACGAGCGACCAAAGACUCAUCUUUCAACUACUUUUCCUUAAUCUGAUCCACCCAGGUUGGCCUCACUUGUAACUCAGCCAAUAGACUUCCAUCAUCAUACAGACUCAGACGAGGAAACAUUGCUCUUAGAUCAGAUACAGCUCUACGACUUAGAGCAUCGGCUACCAUAUUAACCUUGCCUGGGUGAUAUUCAAUCGAACAGUCAUAAUCCUUAAGUAACUCAAUCCAUCUCCUUUACCUAAGGUUCAGCUCCUUCUGAGUCAACAAAUACUUAAGACUCUUAUGGUCAGUGUAUAUAAUACACCUAUCUCCGUACAAGUAAUGUCUCCAAAUCUUAAGUGCAAAUAUCACUGCUGCCAACUCUAAAUCAUGAGUCGGAUAGUUCCCCUCAUGAGGCUUAAGCUGUCGUGAUGCAUAUGCAACCACCUUACCUUCUUGCAUUAACACGCAGCCCAAACCCACGUGUAAUGCGUCACUGUACACACUAAAAUCCUUCCCAGACUUCGGCUGAAUCAACACAUGUGCUUCAGUCAGAACUUUCUUCAACUUCUUAAAAGUUUCCUGCUGCUUCUCAGUCCAUACAAACGGUACUUCUUUCCUUAUGAGUUUUGUCAGAGGAGCUGCCAUCACAGAAAAACCUUCCACAAACCAUCUAUAGUAUCCUGCCAACCCUAGGAAACUUCGAAUUUUCGACACCGUCCUAAGUGCCUUCCACUCCAAAAUUGCUUUAAUCUUUCGAGGGUCCACCUUAAUCCAUUCGGCAGAGACCACAUGUCCUAAGAAGGUUACCUCCCUCAACAAAAAUUCACACUUGCUGAACUUCGCAAAGAAUUUCUUCUCCCUUAACACUCGCAACACUAUACGGAGAUACUCAUCAUGUUUCGCUUCAGUUUCAGAAUAUACCAGGAUAUCGUCAAUAAAGACGAUUACAAACUGAUCUAAAAAUGGUUGGAACACAUGAUUCAUCAGAUCCAUAAACGCUGCAGGAGCGUUCGUCAGUCCAAAUGGCAUAACCAGAAACUCGUAAUGACCAUACCGAGUCCUGAAUGCUGUCUUAUGGAUAUCUGCCUCCUUGACCAUUAACUGAUGAUAUCCAGAUCGAAGGUCGAUCUUGGAAAAUACAGAAGCUCCUCUAAGCUGAUCGAACAAAUCAUCAAUCCUUGGUAGUGGAUACUUAUUCUUAAUCGUCAGUUUGUUCAACUGGUGAUAAUCAAUGCACAUCUGCAUCGUACCAUCCUUCUUUUUCAUGAAUAGCACCGGUGCUCCCCAUGGAGACACGCUUGGCCUAAUGAAGCCCCUAUCCAACAACUCUUGAAUUUGAGCCUUUAACUUCACUAACUCCUUCGGUGCCAUCCUAUACGGUGCGAUGGACACAAGCGUCGUUCCAGGCAACAAAUCUAUUCCAAACUCAACUUCUCGGUUCGGAGGUAAUCUUGGAAGCUUCUCUGAAAAAACAUCUUGGAACUCUUUUACGGUCCUAACCUUAUCCACUGUCAGUCCCUCCUCUUCUGACUGACCUACAAAUGCCAAAUAGGCCUCACAACCUUUCCGAAUCCACUUCUCGGCUCUUAAUACUGACACCACAUUGAACAAAUAAUCCCUUCGCUCACCUAUCACCAUAACCUCCUCAUCCUUUGUGGUCCUAAACACCAUUCGUUUAGCAGCACAAUCCAGGGUCGCCUUAUGCUUAACAAGCUAGUCCAUUCCCAAAAUGAGAUCAAACUCUCCGAACGGUAACUCCAUCAGAUCUCCAGGGAAAAUCCUACCUUGAGUUUCUAAGGGUACAUCCCUAUACAGUUUGUCUACCCUAACCGAGUGACCUAAAGGACUUAGUACAGAUUCUCCACUCACAAUCUCCUCAGAGCAGUCCAAGUUGUCCAUAAUCCGUUCUAUGGCCUCCAACCAAUAUUCCGCCACAUUCGGGGCUAUACUAGACACGCCCCUAAAGAUCUCUGCUCCGUUAGCCCGAAGUCGUUCAGAAAUAGAUCCCCGAACUUUAUUGCCCGUACUUGCCCGGCAACCCUUUCCAGAACACGAAACAUUACCUGUGACAAGGCAUCAUCCUCGGCACCGCGGUCAUGAGACUUUAUUUUUGUUGCCGGUGUUACCGGUGCAUCCACCACCGGCAUAUGUCUCGAAAACGAAGAUCUCGCUCGAGCACUUCCUCGGCUCCGUCCACGGCCUCUUGUAUUCAUAUCGUAUUAUCUUAAUUACAAAUUUUUAUGCAUUAAUUAAUAUUCCAGUGUUUAUUACAGAUGUUUUAUGAAUCAGACAGUAGUUUAGAGUUUAUUUUUGCAGAAUCGAAGUCUAGCUACAGUUUCAGUCUCUUAUCAGAUUUUCCUAUAGUUUCAGUAUCAUCCUAUCUAGAGUAUCCUAAUAGGGUUUCAGUACAGACAGAUAAUUCAAAAAAAUAUUCAGAAAAAUUUAGAAUACUUACAGACUUGAGCUGGAGAUUCGGAAUGCCACUUUCUAAAGAUCUAAAUUUUGAAAAUCGAGUUUUUUGCAUUCUUUAUAAAAUUUUCGCUUUCGAAAAUCUUUAUUUUUGUAAACCCAUUCCACAGCCGAGUUGUUGCAACCUAGGCUCUGAUACCACUAAAUGUAGCACCCCAAACCCGGCCCAGAAGUUAUGGCUGGAUCCGGCAUGCCACAUCAAAAACGUAAAAAAAAAUUUUCAUUCUAAGUUCAGAAAAUCGUACUUGAUGUUCAAAAGAUUAAUUCAUUAAAGGUUAAAGUGGAUGGAAGCUGUGCACCAGGUAGAAAACCGGAAAAGAGGAGGUGAGUCCAUCGGACUGCUUAAGUAGCAAGCUCCCUUCAGAUCCAAUCCUAGACAUGCACACCGCCAUUGCCACACCUUAACGUUAUGUAUAUUUCUAGGAAACCGAUUUGAUUAAGUCUUUUUUAGAAAAAGUGAUUAAUUUUGGAAAAUACUUUCAUUGCGGAAGCUUUGCUUGUCAUCGUGGUAUUUUGAAAUCAAUUGUUGUUUUUGAAAACGCGCCCUAAAGCUUUCCAACUUCAACAGUUAAAAUAAGUAAUACUUAUCUUAGUAACAUAUGUUAACACCAUCAAAAAUAAUAAAGCGGCCUUAUUACAUUUAAAAACCCAAAACUUCAAACGUAAAAAAAAGGAUGUCCAGUUCACCAGAAGAAAAUCAAACUUUUAGAACGGGUGGCCACUCCGAAUUCCCUCACAGCUCCAAGCCCACUAUGGUUGGGGAUUACUUGCGUGGAUGAAAAUAAAAGGGGUGAGUUUGAGGAAACUCAGUGUGUAAGGAAAACCCAUUCAAAGCCCAAGUCAGCUCAAGCCUAUUGGGCCUAAGCCCAUUCAGGUAACAGUGGUACUGGACCAGAGCCCUUUUCAAAUUACAAUAAACUGGGCCUUAGCCCUUUAUUCAGAUAACAAUAUGGCCCAUAGGCCCAUUUCAAAAUACAUGCAACAUCAGUAAACAUAUGCAAGCCCAUUUGGGGAGACUACUCAACCCACCAACCACUACACUCCACCCGUACUAGCCCUACACUCCAUGUGGGGAAUAGCUCAACCCACCCAGCCCAACACUCCACAGCUGCAGCCUUGCUGCUCAGUUAACAGUAAAUUGAGGCAAAGCCUCCAGUACGUGGACAAGCCACUUUUAGUACUUUCUCCGUCAAUAUCCUAAUCCCAUGCAUCAGAUAAUAACAACAUGGCAUGCAGUAAAUAACAACAAUCAAACAUGCAUUUAGGUCAAUUUAACCUUAGGGGUAUUUCGGUAAUUUAUCUCCUAAGGGUAAAACUGUAAAAUUUUCACUUUUAAAGGUAUUUCAGUAAUUUAUCUAUUUUAGGGUUUUUCAUACAUAUUUCUACUUUUCACGUACUAAUAGAAUCACGUACCGAGUGUUCUUACUGAAUUGGGCCCAUUGGCCCAUCAUUCUAAUUUUGGCCCAUUAAGCCCAAAAAUAUCGAGGGCACAGAAAUCAUGCAAUUUGCAAUCCAAAUUUUGCAGUUUACCAAAACCAUUAAUCGAUUUACCUCACAAGCAUUCGCACACUCGCAAAUCUACAAAAUAUCAAUUUUCGGCAUUUCGACUUUUUGACUUUUGCCGAUCCAGAUUAAGAAAGAGGGUGUUAGUUACACACCUGUUCGCGACGAUAUGCUGACGAGAUCCACACACGAACCGCCUACAAUUGGAUUACUAACACGUUAAUCUAACUAUUCAAAUACAAACUACGUAUUAACCCCUUACAAUAUUCGGCCAACCACACCUACAGAUCAUAGUAAGCUUAUAAGAAAUCAAUAAGCAACUCAUUAACAAAUUUUUGUCAAUGUUUACCACAUAAUCAUAAUUUCACUGCAAGCUGUCUUCCUGAGUAUCAGUCACUAAAUCAUUUAUAACUGGAGCUACGAAACUCCAAAUCAAGUGCCGUUAAUUUUCCCUGAAAAUAGAAUCAUAUAUCUUAUAUCUAUAAAAUUUUCAGAAUUUUUGGUUUGGCCAAUCAAUAUCAUAUUUUUCUCAAAGUUUCGCAUGUUUCACUGUUUGACUAAUCUGACCACUCUUCUUUACGAAUCAAAUUUCUCAUUGUACAGAAUUCAAAAUAUGUUCUUGUUUAUUCCAUUUGAAACUAGACUCAUUAAGCUUUAAUUACAUAAUUUAUACAGCUUCUAACUCAUCUCUCACAAUUUAUGGUGAUUUUCCAAAGUCACGUUACUGCUGUUGUCCCAAUCAGAUUUAUUACCAAAUCACUCUUUCACACAUAACUUGCAUGCAUGUUUUUUUUUUAAACAUGUAUAUCACCAAUCAAUCAUCACAUAUCUAUGGUUUUACUUAAGUAUAAUCUCCAUUUCAUCAUUUUAAAGCACAACAUAUUAGCCGAUUUUUCCCCUUAGCAUCUAAGCACAUGCAUGCUCAUUUGUUUGGCUCAACUUCACAUAUCUUCCAUUUUUCAUCUAAAGAAUAUGAAACAACAACCAUUUCCUUCAUUUUAAUUCAUGACCAAAUGCUCACAACACAACCAAAAACCAAAAUAUACUUCAAGAGUUAAGGUAGAAUCAAGAAGAACUCAUGAACAUCAAGAUAGAAGCAAACUACCAUGAACUUACCUUCAAUUUUUUUCUCCAAGUGACCGAAUAUUCAAGAGCUUUCUCCUCUCCUUUUUCUUCUCUAACUUUAGGCUAUGAUGAACAAAGAUGGACAAAACUUUGUUCUUUUCACCCCUUUUUCUUUUAAUAAAAUUUCAUAUUUCAUCCAUUUAAUUCUUUAAUACAAAAGACAUGAAAUUCCAAUCAUGGAACAUUUACCUAACCCAUUAUCAUGGAAUAUUUACCUAACCCAUUAUCAUGGAACAUUUACCUAACCCAUUAUCAAUUUGUAUCAAUUUGUACCAUAAAUUAUGGAUAUCAAGUGCACAUUUUGUCUACAACAACAUAAUGGCUGGCCACUUCAUGUAAAAUGGGAGGUUUGUCAUGCAAAUUCUCCUAUUUUGCACUCCUAUUUAUUUGGCCACUUCAAUUUAGCCUAUAGCAUUUUCAAACAUUUUCACAUAGGUCAUAUUUCAUAAUUUCACUCACAAAUGACAAAAUUAAAGCAUGAAAUUUUGUCAACAUUCACAGAAUUCCCGAAAAAUGGGACGUUACAAGCAGUAACAUCCUUUCCACACCAAACAAAGCCCACAUCGAGAUCUCUCCACCUCUACUUAAUCCCACUCAUAAAGUCACGCCUUCUCCUAACCUUUUCCAUGCGUUUUCCAUCAAUUUUCAUCUCCGUAAAAAAAACCAUUCGGGGAUUAUACAACUUCAACAUAUGCCAAAGUAGUCGAAUGGCCCAUAGACUCCUCAAACCAUAAAUAUUCUAACAUAUGGUUUUCAUUGCGCCCGGUUGACUUACCUUUUGGCAGCUGCUGAUCCUUGGUGAAGAAGAGCAAAAAAUCGCUUUAGAGUUGCCAUCACUAAGUCUUUAGAUACUAGACUAUAGAGGACCUUAACUUUGAGUUUUGCCCUUUUAUUUCUUUUCUCACAAAAAGUUGAAUUCUCAAACUCAUCGGCCCAACCAAAUCGAUUUUCUUUUUGCCAUCACGCUUUCCAACUUACUUUGGUCUACCAUAACGCCUAUUGUUGUUCUCGUCCAGCUACUCUUUUUGGGCUUUUGAGAUUUACCCUCCAUUGGGCUAACAAACCCACUUUGAUUACCCCUUUUGUUACCAAAUUAAUCUGCUCAUCAUCUGUAAUUAAGCCAUCAUGAUCCAUUUACUUCAAAUCAACAUCCUUAAUUGGUGGGAGUCUAGAAUCCCCAUAAUCCCUAAAAAUGUGCACUGAAUCAAUAGUUUUUAAUUCUGCAGAAAACUUUUCUGAUUUACUUCUCCUCCGAUUAAUGAUCCACCGUCAAAACCUAAUUGGAUGUACCAUCCUCACUAAACUUUCCAUACACCUCAUUGAAUACUACAACAUCACCUAUAUAGGAGCACUGCUUCACUGAUUUCUUAGUAGAAAAAUUAGAUUUCAAACUUUCUUUCUCCAACAAACUUGAUUCGGCUUUAAGCGCCAAAGAAUAAGGGAGUUCAUCUUCCAGCUUAUCCCUUUCAUCAGUUGGGAUUCCAUUACACUCCUUAACACCAUGACUUAUUCGUCCACACCCAAAGCAAAUUUUUUUUGCAAAUUCUCAUACUUAAAAGAAACGCAAAGUUUCUCUUGAUUAUCAGCCGAGAUAAAAAUCCUUCUUCAUAACGGUUUCUGUACAUCCAACUAAACUCUUAGCUAAAAAAAUCCCCUUUGACUUUUGAUUUGGUCACCCCUCCGAAAGUUGACAAAAAUUGCCUGCAUUAAAUCUUUUUUUAUCACAUUAUGGCGGACAUGGACCAAUCUUGAUCCAAAACGGAGAGAGAACAAGCCAGAUCUUACUUUAUUCUAUAGGAUUUACCAAUUGAUCAAAAAUAACAAGCUGCCUUCGAAAUAGCCAAGGCCGACCCUUUAGGAUCAUCUCCAAGUCAUCCUCGAUUUCAAACGAAAUCAAAAAUAAAUUUUGCCCUGCCACCUGUAUCUCAAACUUCUUCCUCGUCUUCCAAAUACUCUUAAGCUGUGCACGAAAACUAUCUGGAUUGUAGGAUUUCCUCGUCCAUACAGAGCAUAAUAACGUUGGACUUUCGCUCGGAACAACCAGCGAACUCUUUACAGUCAACUGAACAAGUUCUUCCAGAAGGGAGAUCUCAUCCCUCCCCAUUCUCCAAAAAAAGUCAACACCCCGCUCCUACCCAACCAAAGUAAUCACUGUUUCUCUGGGACACUAAGAGAGAGCACUCUCAACUUUUAAAAUUUCUAAAAAUUUAGAUUCUCUCUCUAUAAUUUAAUUGAUAAAAAAUAGAGAAAUUAUUUUAUAGACUCUUCUCACCUAUUAUGUUCUUAGUUUCUUUUUUUUUUGGUUAAUUUCUUUUUAUUUCACUUUUAAUUUAAUUUCUUAGCGAGCGUCAUCGAAAAAUUUUAUCCAAAUACUUUUAACAUGAAAAAGAAAAAAAAAACAUAACUGACAAGAAGUUGUGGUUGACGGUGAUAUUAUCUUUACAAUCAUAAUUUUUAAGUCUAACGUUUUCAAAUAGUUGAAUGACGCGAGCGAGUAAUUCAAUGCAAUUCGAAAGAGGCAAACGAAUGGUAUCCAAGAG